rnacentral:rRNA from 1 species
UGGGGAAUUUUGGACAAUGGGCGAAAGCCUGAUCCAGCAAUGCCGCGUGUGUGAAGAAGGCCUUCGGGUUGUAAAGCACUUUUGUCCGGAAAGAAAUCCUUGGCUCUAAUACAGUCGGGGGAUGACGGUACCGGAAGAAUAAGCACCGGCUAACUACGUGCCAGCAGCCGCGGUAAUACGUAGGGUGCAAGCGUUAAUCGGAAUUACUGGGCGUAAAGCGUGCGCAGGCGGUUUGCUAAGACCGAUGUGAAAUCCCCGGGCUCAACCUGGGAACUGCAUUGGUGACUGGCAGGCUAGAGUAUGGCAGAGGGGGGUAGAAUUCCACGUGUAGCAGUGAAAUGCGUAGAGAUGUGGAGGAAUACCGAUGGCGAAGGCAGCCCCCUGGGGCCAAAUACUGACGCUCAUGCACGAAAGCGUGGGGAGCAAAACAGGAUUAGAUACCCUGGUAGUCCACGCCCUAAACGAUGUCAACUAGUUGUUGGGGAUUCAUUUCCUUAGUAACGUAGCUAACGCGUGAAGUUGACCGCUGGGGAGUACGGUCGCAAGAUUAAAACUCAAAUGAAUUGACGGGGUCAUAGCUG